rnacentral:piRNA from 1 species
UGCUUCUUGGUCAUGAUGUUUGUGCA